UUUAUUUGACAAUUUUAUACAUAAGUACUGUGGAUUCCUUUAUGUUUGUAGGUACCAAAGUCUACAUACAAGGCUAUAGACAAUUUAUGUUUGUAGGUACCAAAGUCUACAUACAAGGCUAUAGACAAUUUAUGUUUGUAGGUACCAAAGUCUACAUACAAGGCUAUAGACAAUUUAUGUUUGUAGGUACCAAAGUCUACAUACAAGGCUAUAGACAAUUUAUGUUUGUAGGUACCAAAGUCUACAUACAAGGCUAUAGACAAUUUAUGUUUGUAGGUACCAAAGUCUACAUACAAGGCUAUAGACAAUUUAUGUUUGUAGGUACCAAAGUCUACAUACAAGGCUAUAGACAAUUUAUGUUUGUAGGUACCAAAGUCUACAUACAAGGCUAUAGACAAUUUAUGUUUGUAGUACCAAAGUCUACAUACAAGGCUAUAGACAAUUUAUGUUUGUAGGUACCAAAGUCUACAUACAAGGCUAUAGACAAUUUAUGUUUGUAGGUACCAAAGUCUACAUACAAGGCUAUAGACAAUUUAUGUUUGUAGGUACCAAAGUCUACAUACAAGGCUAUAGACAAUUUAUGUUUGUAGGUACCAAAGUCUACAUACAAGGCUAUAGACAAUUUAUGUUUGUAGUACCAAAGUCUACAUACAAGGCUAUAGACAAUUUAUGUUUGUAGGUACCAAAGUCUACAUACAAGUCUAAAGACAAUUUAUGUUUGUAGGUACCAAAGUCUACAUACAAGUCUAUAGACAAUUUAUGUUUGUAGGUACCAAAGUCUACAUACAAGGCUAU